UGCUUUCCAACCGACGUUCCUUACAAUUUUGGAACUAUUGGCGAUGAUCUAGAUGGAGGUAUCAAUUUGUUUAAGUAAUUUUCAUUUAAUUGUUUUAUUACUUUUUCUAUAUAUGUCUUCCAUUUGUCGCCGGUAUCUAGAUUUCUUUCUCUCUCCAACAUCACGUUUCUUUUCAUCUUCUAGUUUUUCAAUUCAGCUUCUAUUUCUCUAUAUUUUUCCAUAAAGUUUCUAUUCUUUAUUUGUCUUCCAGUAACAUCAGCAACAGUUUUAGGGUUUUUUUUAAUUCAGUUUCUCUUUCUCAAUUCAGUUGGCGCGACAGGCGGCGAUCGGCGAGGAGACUGGCAAAGCAAGAAGAAAGAAAAGGGAGAAGAUUUUGGCAAACGGUGCAAGGGCCUCUAAUUUAUUUAGGGAAUCUUCUAAUUAAAUUUGGUUACAUUUCAUAUUAUGCCUUUUUUGUUCUGAAUUUUCAGUUUUGGGAUUUCCAAGCUCCAUUCAAGAAGUCAGUUGGGCCUCCGAGAAGAUCACCUCUAGAUGGUAAAUUUGAUUGCAACUUCACCUUUAUCACCUUUAUUUUUCUUCUUCUUUUUCUUGAUAUGCAUCCAUUAGUGCGCUAACCUUUUUGUUGCUUGAUGGAAAUAAGUUCUGUAUGUGUGGUUCUUUGCAAUUGUGCACAUAAUUACAAAAUAUUAUCCCAUAUAAUGAAGUAGAUUUGCUCAGUUAUAUGAGUGAAGUAGAAGUGAAGUAGAAGUCCUGGAAUUCUUGCCAUUGGUGAUUAUUUGAAAGUUAUUUCUCUUUUAGCUUCUCUUUCUCUCUCUCUCUCUCUUUCCGGCAGUCUUCUUCCUUCAAGGUCUGCAGCUUCUUCUCAAUCUUUAAUGCUGGCAGAUUCGCCCUUCAAUGUCAUAGCUUCUUUUCUACAAGCUUCUUGCUUUAAAUUUGCAGAUUUUGUGGUUCGUUGGAAUAUAAAGAAGAGCAACAUUAUUGCUAUCUUUUUUUUAUUGUUCUUUUGACAUGUACUAAGGGCUUUGAGCAUAAUUAUUGGUAUCUUUUCUUUUUCCUCUCAUUAUAUCUUGUGUUCCAUAGCCUUCAAACUUUGUACGAAUUAUGAUUUUUUUGUUCGGUGAACUGCUAGAAUUUACUAUCUGGAAUUUGUUGAGCAGCUUUCCUUCUUAAUUAUUUUAAAUUUGAAUGGGUUUUACAUCAGCAUUUUAUGGUGCCUGAAACUAAAAAUUUAUGUUUUCGAAGGUAUCUGCGUUGAAUGAGGCUGUUUCUAGAAGUGUGAAGUUGGUGUUCAAAGCUUUGGAGCAGCGGCUUAACUCUCCAGAGGUACUCCAAUGAUUUGCUGAGUUUUGGUUAUUGAUACGUUUUUCCAUGAAUUGAAGAUAUUAGUUCAUGUUUAAGCCGUGAAAUAUGCUUGAUAUUUCUUUGUCAUGUUUUUCUUUCCCCCUGGAUUAGUAACACUUAGUAUGGAUUAACAAGGUGUUAGUUGAUAUGGAUCUCUCUUCUAUUUUUUUUUUUUUUCUCAAUUAGAUGAUUGCAGAAGCUUUUCUUUCUCUUUUUCUGCAAUUAUUGCUUAUCUUUCAUCGCAAGACCAGUAACUUCUUGCUUCUCCUUCCUUCAUUUUCUUGCUUCUCCUUUGGUCUUUCAAUUUAUUGCUUCUCUUUUAUCUUUUUUCAUUUUCAGUAGCUUUUUUGCUUCUCUUCAAAUUUCAUUUUCAGCAAACAAUGCAAAUUUUUGGACCAGCAUCAUUAUGAAGAAUCAACUUGGUUCUUGGGGAUGGGAAAUGAGUGCAGUCCCCUCUAUUUUUCUCGACCCCAGUCAAACUUUACGUAUAUUUUUUUGGAUGAUUAGUGUAUUAAGAUUGAAAUUUCUCUGGUUUCAUUAUGCAUUUAGUGAUAAAAUGGUCUUUUCCAUUUUACCAUGUUGCUCAAAACUCUUAGAUUCAGACCACCCAUUUCUUGACUGUUUCCUAUGGGAUUGGAGGCCACGUUUGAUCUUUUGGGAGUUCUAUGCUAUCAAGUAAAUUGAUGGUGAAGCAUGUAAAUAAUUUGUAUGCUAUUCUAUUAUUUGUUGAAGCACAUAUUUGAGUUUUGAGAAAUAGAAAAUUUGC
rnacentral:lncRNA from 1 species